rnacentral:rRNA from 1 species
UACGGAGGGCGCGAGCGUUGUCCGGAAUCACUGGGCGUAAAGGGCGCGUAGGCGGCCCUGUUAAGUCUGCGGUGAAAGCCCGGGGCUCAACCCCGGGUCGGCCGCGGGUACUGCCGGGCUGGAGUGCCGUAGGGGCAGGCGGAAUUCCGGGUGUAGCGGUGGAAUGCGUAGAGAUCCGGAAGAACACCGGUGGCGAAGGCGGCCUGCUGGGCGGCGACUGACGCUGAGGCGCGACAGCGUGGGGAGCAAACAGG